UACGGAGGGUGCGAGCGUUGUCCGGAAUCACUGGGCGUAAAGGGCGCGUAGGCGGCGCGGGAAGUCGGUGGUGAAGCCGGGCUCAACUCCGGGUCGGCCGCCGAGACUCCGGCGUCGAGCACUGUAGAGGCGGGUGGAACUCCGGGUGUAGCGGUGGAAUGCGUAGAGAUCCGGAAGAACACCGGUGGCGAAGGCGGCCCGCUGGGCAGUGGCUGACGCUGAGGCGCGACAGCGUGGGAGCAAC
rnacentral:rRNA from 1 species